GACGAACCUUGCUAACGUUAUUCGGAAUUACUGGGCUUAAAGGGUGCGUAGGCGGUGCGGAAAGUUGGGUGUGAAAUCCCUCGGCUCAACCGAGGAAUUGCGCCCAAAACUGCCGCACUAGAGGAAGACAGAGGUACGCGGAACUUAGGGUGGAGCGGUGAAAUGCGUUGAUAUCCUAAGGAACACCGGUGGCAAAAGCGGCGUACUGGGUCUUAUCUGACGCUGAGGCACGAAAGCUAGGGGAGCGAACGGG
rnacentral:rRNA from 1 species